rnacentral:rRNA from 2 species
UAAGCGCGCGUAGGCGGUUUUUUAAGUCUGAUGUGAAAGCCCACGGCUCAACCGUGGAGGGUCAUUGGAAACUGGAAAACUUGAGUGCAGAAGAGGAAAGUGGAAUUCCAUGUGUAGCGGUGAAAUGCGCAGAGAUAUGGAGGAACACCAGUGGCGAAGGCGACUUUCUGGUCUGUAACUGACGCUCAUGUGCGAAAGCGUGGGGAUCAAACAGGAUUAGAUACCCUGGUAGUCCACGCCGUAAACGAUGAGUGCUAAGUGUUAGGGGGUUUCCGCCCCUUAGUGCUGCAGCUAACGCAUUAAGCACUCCGCCUGGGGAGUACGACCGCAAGGUUGAAACUCANAGGAAUUGACGGGGACCCGCACAAGCGGUGGAGCAUGUGGUUUAAUUCCAAGCAACGCGAAGAACCUUACCAAAUCUUGACAUCCUUUGACCCUUCUAGAGAUAGAAGUUUCCCCUUCGGGGGACAAAGUGACAGGUGGUGCAUGGUU